UACGUAGGGGGCGAGCGUUGUCCGAAUUUACUGGGCGUAAAGCGCGCGUAGGCGGGGGGUUAAGUGAGAGGUGAAAGGCUGGGGCUCAACCUCAUGCAGUGCCUCUCAUACUGGCCUUCUUGAGGGCGGUAGGGAGAAGUGGAAUGGCUGGUGUAGCGGUGAAAUGCGUAGAUAUCAGUCGGAACACCGGUGGCGAAGGCGGCUUCUUGGGCCGUUCCUGACGCUGAUGCGCGAAAGCUGGGGGAGCGAACGGG
rnacentral:rRNA from 1 species